GAGUGUUUAGCGACUUGUCACGCUUAUUGUUAUGUAUUGCGAUGAAUGAAGAGCCGAAUGGCACCAUGCUAUCACUUGUGUCUAGCGCGCUGCGUUGUCGAGUUACUGAGAAACUAACAGUGAGAAUGCCUCGAGUUGUUUCUGAUCAAAGGGCAAAGUUUGAAAACGACGAACUGUUUAGAAAACUCAGUCGUGAAAGUGAGGUGAGGUAUACGGGGUUUCGGGACAGACCCCACGACGAAAGGCAGUUACGUUUUCACACAGAAUGCCGGGAAGGUCACGCCGAUGUGGCUUUCACAGCUACUGGCACAAAUCUCCAGCUGAGUUUUGCGGCCAAUGCAUGGUCGGAUAAACCGGAGGACAGAACACCCACUCAAGAAUUUGUCAAUUUCGACCGGGAACCAGGGAAGGUGCAUUUGAAGUCCCAGUUUAUCAUGAACGGUGUGUGUGUGGUGUGGCGAGGAUGGAUCGACCUUCAACGACUUGAUGGAAUUGGGUGUUUAGAGUUUGACGACGACAGAGCGGAGGUUGAAGACGCAAUACUGAGAGAGCAAAUCGACCAAUACAAUCGACGGUUGCGGGAGUUUGAGGAGCGGCAAAGGCAGUACCGCCAAGACCAAGAGAGGCAGGCAGAGUCGGAGGCAGAGCAGGAGAGACAAAUGCUCGUUAGACUUGAGACUGGGGACUAUUAUCAAACACCCUCGUCGCAGAACGGAUUCCCUCGCCACAGAACACAGAGGUCCGAGAAAGAUUAUCGGAUACGUACAAAAGCCGACAGCAGGAUCGAGGUUCCAAUCCGAGCCCCUCAGAAACGAGCAGCAGUGAUUGACGCUCAGCGAUCGCCAUGGAAACCAAGCCUGUACAUAUUGUAACAUAGACCUCCGCGGGAGACUAACUUAUUCUAUUUUUAAUGUCAAUUUUUAUGAAAAUAUUGACGAAAAUAGAGCAUUGAUAUAAAUAGCCUGAAAGUAUAGAAUAUUUUUUGAAAAAUAUUUGUUGUAAAAACUGUGGAACCAAAGGUUGUGUGCGGAAAAGGUCAUGUGACCUGGACGUGGGUGUAAUUAUCAAGCUAUUUAAUUACCGGUGAUUUAACAACCACAAUGUAUGUACAUGGAAUUUCAGCAGAGCGGAAACUGUCGUCUACUUGUUUGGAUAAUGGUACGUUAAUGACCAGUUGCAAGAAAUGCAACUUGUAAGGAAUCUCAUUUUUAUGUCUGUGGCCAUACUUCCAUCUCAGUUUCAGAGACAUUCCAUGCGUGAAUGUUGUUACUGUGUGUAUUCAAUGGUACUGUUACAUAUGAGAUACAUAUACUACUAAAAAAAAGUUAAGGACCACCCGAUUCUUUUAUAUUACUAUAGUUUUUAAUCUGUUCUAGCAUGACUGAUUCAUUUAUAGUAAUUUGAAAGAAUUGUUCUUAAUUUUAUUUGAGUAGUAUAAUAUGACUUUCCACUAAAAAAAAUAUGACAAUAUGUUGUAAUGAUGAAUGUAUAACAUGACUAGAAAAUGUUGAUAUUUAUUACACUGUGUUAUGUUUGGUCAGUAAGUUCUGGUGGAUUUUGAGGGCAUAACAAUAAAAAUGCAUGUUAUGAAAUGAUAUUGUAUGCUUGUUAAGAGGUGCAUAUUGUUAUAAGUUAUUUUCAUAAAUGAAUUUUGUUAACAGAAUGAAAUGUUAUUUGCUCAAUAAUGUAGCCAAAGUCCAGCCAUUAUCAGUAUCAAUUUUUUAGUUUUUAAGAUUAUGUUUUGAAAAAACACAAAAAACCGUCAAUGCCAGUAGGGCACAUUACUUUAAUAUAAGAAGACUGGGGCACAUUACUUUGAUAUAUGAAGACUGGGGCACAUUACUUUGAUAUAAGAAAACUGGGGCACAUUACUUUAAUAUAUGAAGACUGGGGCACAUUACUUUGAUAUGAGAAGACUGGGACACAUUACUUUCAUAUGAGAAGACUGGGGCACAUUACUUUGAUAUAAGAAAACUGGGGCACAUUACUUUAAUAUAUGAAGACUGGGGCACAUUACUUUGAUAUGAGAAGACUGGGGCACAUUACUUUGAUAUAAGAAAACUGGGGCACAUUACUUUAAUAUAUGAAGACUGGGGCACAUUAUUUUGAGGUAAGACUGGGGCAC
rnacentral:misc_RNA from 1 species